ACGUAGGGUCCAAGCGUUAAUCGGAAUUACUGGGCGUAAAGCGUGCGCAGGCGGUUUUGCAAGACCGAUGUGAAAUCCCCGGGCUCAACCUGGGAAUUGCAUUGGUGACUGGACGGCUAGAGUGUGGCAGAGGGGGGUGGAAUUCCACGUGUAGCGGUGAAAUGCGUAGAGAUGUGGAGGAAUACCGAUGGCGAAGGCAGCCUACUGGGAUAACACUGACGCUCAUGCACGAAAGCGUGGGGAGCAAACAG
rnacentral:rRNA from 1 species